rnacentral:rRNA from 1 species
CGGGGUGAGUAACGCGUGGGUAACCUGCCCUAUACACACGGAUAACAUACCGAAAGGUAUGCUAAUACGAGAUGAUAUAAGAAAUUCGCAUGUUUUUCUUAUCAAAGCUUUUGCGGUAUAGGAUGGACCCGCGUCUGAUUAGCUAGUUGGUAAGGUAAUGGCUUACCAAGGCGACGAUCAGUAGCCGACCUGAGAGGGUGAUCGGCCACAUUGGAACUGAGACACGGUCCAA